GGGUUGUGAGGUUAAGCGACUAAGCGUACACGGUGGAUGCCCUGGCAGUCAGAGGCGAUGAAGGACGUGCUAAUCUGCGAUAAGCGUCGGUAAGGUGAUAUGAACCGUUAUAACCGGCGAUUUCCGAAUGGGGAAACCCAGUGUGUUUCGACACACUAUCAUUAACUGAAUCCAUAGGUUAAUGAGGCGAACCGGGGGAACUGAAACAUCUAAGUACCCCGAGGAAAAGAAAUCAACCGAGAUUCCCCCAGUAGCGGCGAGCGAACGGGGAGCAGCCCAGAGCCUGAAUCAGUGUGUGUGUUAGUGGAAGCGUCUGGAAAGGCGCGCGAUACAGGGUGACAGCCCCGUACACAAAAAUGCACAUGCUGUGAGCUCGAUGAGUAGGGCGGGACACGUGGUAUCCUGUCUGAAUAUGGGGGGACCAUCCUCCAAGGCUAAAUACUCCUGACUGACCGAUAGUGAACCAGUACCGUGAGGGAAAGGCGAAAAGAACCCCGGCGAGGGGAGUGAAAAAGAACCUGAAACCGUGUACGUACAAGCAGUGGGAGCACGCUUAGGCGUGUGACUGCGUACCUUUUGUAUAAUGGGUCAGCGACUUAUAUUCUGUAGCAAGGUUAACCGAAUAGGGGAGCCGAAGGGAAACCGAGUCUUAACUGGGCGUUAAGUUGCAGGGUAUAGACCCGAAACCCGGUGAUCUAGCCAUGGGCAGGUUGAAGGUUGGGUAACACUAACUGGAGGACCGAACCGACUAAUGUUGAAAAAUUAGCGGAUGACUUGUGGCUGGGGGUGAAAGGCCAAUCAAACCGGGAGAUAGCUGGUUCUCCCCGAAAGCUAUUUAGGUAGCGCCUCGUGAACUCAUCUCCGGGGGUAGAGCACUGUUUCGGCAAGGGGGUCAUCCCGACUUACCAACCCGAUGCAAACUGCGAAUACCGGAGAAUGUUAUCACGGGAGACACACGGCGGGUGCUAACGUCCGUCGUGAAGAGGGAAACAACCCAGACCGCCAGCUAAGGUCCCAAAGUCAUGGUUAAGUGGGAAACGAUGUGGGAAGGCCCAGACAGCCAGGAUGUUGGCUUAGAAGCAGCCAUCAUUUAAAGAAAGCGUAAUAGCUCACUGGUCGAGUCGGCCUGCGCGGAAGAUGUAACGGGGCUAAACCAUGCACCGAAGCUGCGGCAGCGACGCUUAUGCGUUGUUGGGUAGGGGAGCGUUCUGUAAGCCUGUGAAGGUGUGCUGUGAGGCAUGCUGGAGGUAUCAGAAGUGCGAAUGCUGACAUAAGUAACGAUAAAGCGGGUGAAAAGCCCGCUCGCCGGAAGACCAAGGGUUCCUGUCCAACGUUAAUCGGGGCAGGGUGAGUCGACCCCUAAGGCGAGGCCGAAAGGCGUAGUCGAUGGGAAACAGGUUAAUAUUCCUGUACUUGGUGUUACUGCGAAGGGGGGACGGAGAAGGCUAUGUUGGCCGGGCGACGGUUGUCCCGGUUUAAGCGUGUAGGCUGGUUUUCCAGGCAAAUCCGGAAAAUCAAGGCUGAGGCGUGAUGACGAGGCACUACGGUGCUGAAGCAACAAAUGCCCUGCUUCCAGGAAAAGCCUCUAAGCAUCAGGUAACAUCAAAUCGUACCCCAAACCGACACAGGUGGUCAGGUAGAGAAUACCAAGGCGCUUGAGAGAACUCGGGUGAAGGAACUAGGCAAAAUGGUGCCGUAACUUCGGGAGAAGGCACGCUGAUAUGUAGGUGAAGUCCCUUGCGGAUGGAGCUGAAAUCAGUCGAAGAUACCAGCUGGCUGCAACUGUUUAUUAAAAACACAGCACUGUGCAAACACGAAAGUGGACGUAUACGGUGUGACGCCUGCCCGGUGCCGGAAGGUUAAUUGAUGGGGUCAGCGCAAGCGAAGCUCUUGAUCGAAGCCCCGGUAAACGGCGGCCGUAACUAUAACGGUCCUAAGGUAGCGAAAUUCCUUGUCGGGUAAGUUCCGACCUGCACGAAUGGCGUAAUGAUGGCCAGGCUGUCUCCACCCGAGACUCAGUGAAAUUGAACUCGCUGUGAAGAUGCAGUGUACCCGCGGCAAGACGGAAAGACCCCGUGAACCUUUACUAUAGCUUGACACUGAACAUUGAGCCUUGAUGUGUAGGAUAGGUGGGAGGCUUGGAAGUGUGGACGCCAGUCUGCAUGGAGCCGACCUUGAAAUACCACCCUUUAAUGUUUGAUGUUCUAACGUUGACCCGUAAUCCGGGUUGCGGACAGUGUCUGGUGGGUAGUUUGACUGGGGCGGUCUCCUCCUAAAGAGUAACGGAGGAGCACGAAGGUUGGCUAAUCCUGGUCGGACAUCAGGAGGUUAGUGCAAUGGCAUAAGCCAGCUUGACUGCGAGCGUGACGGCGCGAGCAGGUGCGAAAGCAGGUCAUAGUGAUCCGGUGGUUCUGAAUGGAAGGGCCAUCGCUCAACGGAUAAAAGGUACUCCGGGGAUAACAGGCUGAUACCGCCCAAGAGUUCAUAUCGACGGCGGUGUUUGGCACCUCGAUGUCGGCUCAUCACAUCCUGGGGCUGAAGUAGGUCCCAAGGGUAUGGCUGUUCGCCAUUUAAAGUGGUACGCGAGCUGGGUUUAGAACGUCGUGAGACAGUUCGGUCCCUAUCUGCCGUGGGCGCUGGAGAACUGAGGGGGGCUGCUCCUAGUACGAGAGGACCGGAGUGGACGCAUCACUGGUGUUCGGGUUGUCAUGCCAAUGGCACUGCCCGGUAGCUAAAUGCGGAAGAGAUAAGUGCUGAAAGCAUCUAAGCACGAAACUUGCCCCGAGAUGAGUUCUCCCUGACUCCUUGAGAGUCCUGAAGGAACGUUGAAGACGACGACGUUGAUAGGCCGGGUGUGUAAGCGCAGCGAUGCGUUGAGCUAACCGGUACUAAUGAACCGUGAGGCUUAACCUUACAACGCCGAAGCUGUU
rnacentral:rRNA from 1 species